GACCUGGUGGUGGAAGGCAUCAUAUCAUACCUGCAUGUAAUUCUUAAUGAGUGCAUCAGCAGGAGUCGUCGGUUCGAAUCUGGCCCAGGUCA